GCGACCCCAGGYCAAGYGGGGCUACCCGCUGAGUUUAAGCAUAUCAAUAAGC
rnacentral:rRNA from 1 species